rnacentral:rRNA from 1 species
AUUGAACGCUGGCGGCAUGCUUUACACAUGCAAGUCGAACGGCAGCGCGGGCUUCGGCCUGGCGGCGAGUGGCGAACGGGUGAGUAAUACAUCGGAACGUGCCCAGUAGUGGGGGAUAGCUCGGCGAAAGCCGGAUUAAUACCGCAUACGACCUGAGGGUGAAAGCGGGGGAUCUUCGGACCUCGCGCUAUUGGAGCGGUCGAUGGCAGAUUAGCUAGUUGGUGGGGUAAAGGCCUACCAAGGCGACGAUCUGUAGCUGGUCUGAGAGGACGACCAGCCACACUGGGACUGAGACACGGCCCAGACUCCUACGGGAGGCAGCAGUGGGGAAUUUUGGACAAUGGGCGAAAGCCUGAUCCAGCAAUGCCGCGUGGGUGAUGAAGGCCUUCGGGUUGUAAAGCACUUUUGGCGGGAACGAAAAGGACUGUGCCAAUACCGCGGUUCGAUGACGGUACCCGCAGAAUAAGCACCGGCUAACUACGUG